rnacentral:sRNA from 1 species
UACAGUUAAUGGCGCUAUUAAGAGUUGC